rnacentral:rRNA from 1 species
UACAGAGGGUGCGAGCGUUGUUCUGAAUUAUUGGGCGUAAAGGGCGCGUAGGCGGUGCGGUAAGUCACCUGUGAAAUCUCCUGGCUCAACUGGGAGCUUGCAGGCGAAACUGCCGUGCUGGAGUGUGGGAGAGGUGAGUGGAAUUCCCGGUGUAGCGGUGAAAUGCGUAGAUAUCUGGAGGAACACCGGUGGCGAAGGCGGCAUCCUGAACCAACACUGACGCUGAGGAGCGAAAGCCAGGGGAGCAAACGGG